rnacentral:rRNA from 1 species
GACGAACGCUGGCGGCGUGCCUAAUACAUGCAAGUUGAGCGAUGAAGCUUGGUGCUUGCACCCAUUUGAAGAGCAGCGAACGGGUGAGUAACGCGUGGGGAAUCUGCCUUUGAGCGGGGGACAACAUUUGGAAACGAAUGCUAAUACCGCAUAACAACUUUAAACAUAAGUUUUAAGUUUGAAAGAUGCAAUUGCAUCACUCAAAGAUGAUCCCGCGUUGUAUUAGCUAGUUGGUGAGGUAAAGGCUCACCAAGGCGAUGAUACAUAGCCGACCUGAGAGGGUGAUCGGCCACAUUGGGACUGAGACACGGCCCAAACUCCUACGGGAGGCAGCAGUAGGGAAUCUUCGGCAAUGGACGAAAGUCUGACCGAGCAACGCCGCGUGAGUGAAGAAGGGUUUCGGAUCGUAAAACUCUGUUGGUAGAGAAGAACGUUGGUGAGAGUGGAAAGCUCAUCAAGUGACGGUAACUACCCAGAAAGGGACGGCUAACUACGUG